AGGGAAAGGCGAAAAGAACCCCGGCGAGGGGAGUGAAAAAGAACCUGAAACCGUGUACGUACAAGCAGUGGGAGCACAGGUUUACCUGUGUGACUGCGUACCUUUUGUAUAAUGGGUCAGCGACUUAUAUUCUGUAGCAAGGUUAACCGUAUAGGGGAGCCGUAGGGAAACCGAGUCUUAACCGGGCGUUAAGUUGCAGGGUAUAGACCCGAAACCCGGUGAUCUAGCCAUGGGCAGGUUGAAGGUUGGGUAACACUAACUGGAGGACCGAACCGACUAAUGUUGAAAAAUUAGCGGAUGACCUGUGGCUGGGGGUGAAAGGCCAAUCAAACCGGGAGAUAGCUGGUUCUCCCCGAAAGCUAUUUAGGUAGCGCCUCGUGAAUUCAUCUCCGGGGGUAGAGCACUGUUUCGGCUAGGGGGCCAUCCCGGCUUACCAACCCGAUGCAAACUGCGAAUACCGGAGAAUGUUAUCACGGGAGACACACGGCGGGUGCUAACGUCCGUCGUGAAGAGGGAAACAACCCAGACCGCCAGCUAAGGUCCCAAAGUCAUGGUUAAGUGGGAAACGAUGUGGGAAGGCCCAGACAGCCAGGAUGUUGGCUUAGAAGCAGCCAUCAUUUAAAGAAAGCGUAAUAGCUCACUGGUCGAGUCGGCCUGCGCGGAAGAUGUAACGGGGCUAAACCAUGCACCGAAGCUGCGGCAGCGACGCUGAUGCGUUGUUGGGUAGGGGAGCGUUCUGUAAGCCUGUGAAGGUGGCCUGUGAGGGUUGCUGGAGGUAUCAGAAGUGCGAAUGCUGACAUAAGUAACGAUAAAGCGGGUGAAAAGCCCGCUCGCCGGAAGACCAAGGGUUCCUGUCCAACGUUAAUCGGGGCAGGGUGAGUCGACCCCUAAGGCGAGGCCGAAAGGCGUAGUCGAUGGGAAACGGGUUAAUAUUCCCGUACUUGGUGUUACUGCGAAGGGGGGACGGAGAAGGCUAUGUUGGCCGGGCGACGGUUGUCCCGGUUUAAGCGUGUAGGUGUGUGUUCCAGGUAAAUCCGGUUCACUUUAACACUGAGGCGUGAUGACGAGGCACUACGGUGCUGAAGCAACAAAUGCCCUGCUUCCAGGAAAAGCCUCUAAGCAUCAGGUAACAUCAAAUCGUACCCCAAACCGACACAGGUGGUCAGGUAGAGAAUACCAAGGCGCUUGAGAGAACUCGGGUGAAGGAACUAGGCAAAAUGGUGCCGUAACUUCGGGAGAAGGCACGCUGACACGUAGGUGAAGUGAUUUACUCAUGGAGCUGAAGUCAGUCGAAGAUACCAGCUGGCUGCAACUGUUUAUUAAAAACACAGCACUGUGCAAACACGAAAGUGGACGUAUACGGUGUGACGCCUGCCCGGUGCCGGAAGGUUAAUUGAUGGGGUCAGCGCAAGCGAAGCUCCUGAUCGAAGCCCCGGUAAACGGCGGCCGUAACUAUAACGGUCCUAAGGUAGCGAAAUUCCUUGUCGGGUAAGUUCCGACCUGCACGAAUGGCGUAAUGAUGGCCAGGCUGUCUCCACCCGAGACUCAGUGAAAUUGAACUCGCUGUGAAGAUGCAGUGUACCCGCGGCAAGACGGAAAGACCCCGUGAACCUUUACUAUAGCUUGACACUGAACAUUGAGCCUUGAUGUGUAGGAUAGGUGGGAGGCUUUGAAGCGUGGACGCCAGUCUGCAUGGAGCCGGCCUUGAAAUACCACCCUUUAAUGUUUGAUGUUCUAACGUGGACCCGUGAUCCGGGUUGCGGACAGUGUCUGGUGGGUAGUUUGACUGGGGCGGUCUCCUCCUAAAGAGUAACGGAGGAGCACGAAGGUUGGCUAAUCCUGGUCGGACAUCAGGAGGUUAGUGCAAUGGCAUAAGCCAGCUUGACUGCGAGCGUGACGGCGCGAGCAGGUGCGAAAGCAGGUCAUAGUGAUCCGGUGGUUCUGAAUGGAAGGGCCAUCGCUCAACGGAUAAAAGGUACUCCGGGGAUAACAGGCUGAUACCGCCCAAGAGUUCAUAUCGACGGCGGUGUUUGGCACCUCGAUGUCGGCUCAUCACAUCCUGGGGCUGAAGUAGGUCCCAAGGGUAUGGCUGUUCGCCAUUUAAAGUGGUACGCGAGCUGGGUUUAGAACGUCGUGAGACAGUUCGGUCCCUAUCUGCCGUGGGCGCUGGAGAACUGAGGGGGGCUGCUCCUAGUACGAGAGGACCGGAGUGGACGCAUCACUGGUGUUCGGGUUGUCAUGCCAAUGGCACUGCCCGGUAGCUAAAUGCGGAAGAGAUAAGUGCUGAAAGCAUCUAAGCACGAAACUUGCCCCGAGAUGAGUUCUCCCUGAGACUUAGAGUCUCCUGAAGGAACGUUGAAGACGACGACGUUGAUAGGCCGGGUGUGUAAGCGCAGCGAUGCGUUGAGCUAACCGGUACUAAUGAACCGUGAGGCUUAACC
rnacentral:rRNA from 1 species